CCUACGGGAGGCAGCAGUGAGGAAUAUUGGUCAAUGGGCGAGAGCCUGAACCAGCCAAGUCGCGUGAGGGAGUACUGCCCUAUGGGUUGUAAACCUCUUUUGUCGGGGAGCAAAAGCCGGACGUGUCCGGCUGUUAGAGUACCCGAAGAAAAAGCAUCGGCUAACUCCGUGCAAGCAGCCGCGGUAAUAGGGAGGGUGCGAGCGUUAGACGGAUUUUUUGGGUGUGAAGGGUGGGCAGGCGGACUUUUAAGUCAGCGGUAAAAUCGUGGGGUUGAACCCGAUCCAGCCGAUGAAACUGGGGAUCUAGAGUGUGCGAGAGGUAUGCGGAAUGCGUGGUGUAGCGGUGAAAUGCAUAGAUAUCACGCAGAACCCCGAUUGCGAAGGCAGCAUACCGGUGCACAACUGACGCUCAGGCACGAAAGCGUGGGUAUCGAACAGGAUUAGAUACCCCAGUAGUC
rnacentral:rRNA from 1 species